UGAGGAGUUGGCUAGUGUAACUAGUGUAACUAGAUGAUAAGAUGCCCCGAAAUACCGGGGAAGGCAGGGUCUAGAUCUGCCGGGUAGCGUUUCCGCAGGGUGAAGAUAUGACCCCCCUGUCCCACACAUCAUUCGGUGCACACAGCCUGGCCAUUAUAAAAAGAUUAUCCUAAUGUGUGCAAUCGGCCCAGAAGCCUCUCAACCUGUAACGGUCAACUAACAUAAAACUGCAGCUGGCAAGCAAAGCUGUGUCUGGCCCAUGACCGUAAGCUACUGCGGGCUCUGGGGGCUCUAGCCAGCACUACCAACGAAUUUCAUUCUCACCCGAAGCACUUGACUUUGCCGUACAGCGCCACGCAUGUGUGAUUCUCCCCCGCCGCCACAAUGAGGGAGUCUGUAGGUGCUGUGGGCGGGUGCAAUGGAGCGGUAGGAAUACGGAAGCAAUCGAAAUGUGAGAAGACAGCUAUCACGCAAGGAGGUUGGCGGCAUGGGUACUACUGGGUACGCUAAGGGUGAGGGCCUAUCUAGAAAGACUGGGUCGACUCACCGGGUAUUAGCUAGCUAGCAGGCUAUUGCUAUUCCUAUUAAUAUUGCUAUUGUUAUCAUUUAUCAUUUAUAUUAUUAGUAGUAUAAGCAUUAUUAUUAUUAUCAUUAUCAUUAUAUAUUAUUUUUAGGAUUAUUAGUAUUGUAGUGUUGAUGGGGUGUUACACUGUGGGCGGCUCGCCCGAUAAAGAACGAGCACCGGGGGCCCUGACCGGGCCGAAACACAGCGCAGGGAUGGGCGCGCGGCUUUACGUCCGUCUGUUCCUCCGCGUGCGCCUCGAUCCCUCACUCACGCCAACCGGGACACUCUCCCAGCCCCUGGCUAGGCAACACAGCGGCGCAGA
rnacentral:lncRNA from 1 species